CUCGAGUGUGUUGCCCAGGGACGCUUGACACCAUCUCAGAAUCCAAAGUGGACAUAUUUAUAGUGUGUCCCGACUCUGAAAGGAGUUAAGAGCAGAGAGCUGAAAAUAGUUGGUCUGGAUGGGAAAUGAAAAUCAAAUGUUCUCUUACUCUGAAGGGAGUGAUGAACGAAGAUUCAUAAUGUAAGAUGCUAUGUAGCACUCUGAGAAAAGAUGAUGCCUACAUUUUUAGCUUAAUUUAAGGGAAGAUGGCCCUGAACCCAGCACUGGAGAUACAGCAGUGAACAAAACAGCAACCCCGGCCCCAGGAAUUUUACGUUCUCUGAGGGGAGACAGGAAAUAACAAAUAAGAUGUUGUCUUGCGCCCAGGGCAGCUGUGAGUAUGUGAAUGCCUCAUCAAGUGACUGUGGACACCGCCCAAAUGGCAAUCAGCACAGAAACCUUAUAAAAUUGCCAACAGAUUACUGCUUCUGUCUGCCAGCACUUUCAAUGCCAGCCAGCCUGGGGGCUUGUUUUGUUUUGGGUUUUUUUGGUUUUGUUGUUUUUUUUCUACUGGAAUACGUUGUGAUUUAGAGAUCUCCGAAGAAUCCCUGCUUCUCUGAGGCCACCUAAACCAUGACCCCAUACAAUUAAAAUGGAUACCACUACGGCCAUACAGGUCUGCGUCGUACAAUUCAAGGAGACCGUUCACAUCGUGACUGAGCAGCAAGACAAUCUGUCUAUAACAGGAGGAGGGGUGAGGAACCUGAGGCCCGGAGAGUUACAUCUGUAGGGCUUCCCCGGUGGCACAGCUGUGAAGAAUCUGACUGCCAAUGCAGGGGACUUGGGUUUGAGCCCUGGUCUGGGAAGAUCUCACAUGCCACGGAGC